rnacentral:rRNA from 1 species
AGUGAACGCUGGCGGUAGGCCUAACACAUGCAAGUCGAACGGCAGCACAGUAAGAGCUUGCUCUUACGGGUGGCGAGUGGCGGACGGGUGAGGAAUACAUCGGAAUCUACUUUUUCGUGGGGGAUAACGUAGGGAAACUUACGCUAAUACCGCAUACGACCUACGGGUGAAAGCAGGGGAUCUUCGGACCUUGUGCGAUUGAAUGAGCCGAUGUCGGAUUAGCUAGUUGGCGGGGUAAAGGCCCACCAAGGCGACGAUCCGUAGCUGGUCUGAGAGGAUGAUCCGCCACACUGGAACUGAGACACGGUCCAGACUCCUACGGGAGGCAGCAGUGGGGAAUAUUGGACAAUGGGCGAAAGCCUGAUCCAGCCAUACCGCGUGGGUGAAGAAGGCCUUCGGGUUGUAAAGCCCUUUUGUUGGGAAAGAAAAGCAGCAGGUUAAUACCCCGCUGUUCUGACGGUACCCAAAGAAUAAGCACCGGCUAACUUCGUG